CCCACACAGCCCUGGCUUCUCAGAACCCAAAAGAGGCCGGAGGAGUCCCACAGACGUACCUGUGAGGGAAAGAGCUCGCUGGAAGGCUGGGGAGCCCUUCAGAUGGCUCCUCACACCCACUCCCUGCAGCUGCCCAGGAUGGGACCUCUGCCUUCCUGCUCCAGCAUGGCUCAGCACGCACCAGAUAAAUCAGCCCCACACAGGUGACACGGACACCCCUCUACUGAGAGAUGGAAUCUCCAUGCCCUCCUGGAUCUGUGUGGAUCUGUGAGUCAGGCAGAAGCAAUGCCGCAUCGUUUCCAAGGCUGGAUAAGAAAAGUAAGCACCAUGCCCAACGUAGGUCUUGAAUUCAUGACUCCGAGAUCAAGAGUUUCAUGCUCCACUGAAUCAGCCAGCCAGCCAUCUUUCGUCUUUUCCCCUUCAUGCCCUUUGCCCCACCCUUGUUCCCCAAGACCACUUCUCAA